UAACCUGCCCAAGAGAUCGGGAUAACACCUGGAAACAGAUGCUAAUACCGGAUAACAACAGAUGAUGCCUAUCAACUGUUUAAAAGAUGGUUCUGCUAUCACUCUUGGAUGGACCUGCGGUGCAUUAGCUAGUUGGUAGGGUAACGGCCUACAAGGCGAUGAUGCAUAGCCGAGUUGAGAGACUGAUCGGCCACAUUGGGACUGAGACACGGCCCAAACUCCUACGGGAGGCAGCAGCC
rnacentral:rRNA from 1 species